rnacentral:rRNA from 1 species
GAUGAACGCUGGCGGCGUGCCUAAUACAUGCAAGUCGAGCGAAUGGAUUAAGAGCUUGCUCUUAUGAAGUUAGCGGCGGACGGGUGAGUAACACGUGGGUAACCUGCCCAUAAGACUGGGAUAACUCCGGGAAACCGGGGCUAAUACCGGAUAACAUUUUGAACCGCAUGGUUCGAAAUUGAAAGGCGGCUUCGGCUGUCACUUAUGGAUGGACCCGCGUCGCAUUAGCUAGUUGGUGAGGUAACGGCUCACCAAGGCAACGAUGCGUAGCCGACCUGAGAGGGUGAUCGGCCACACUGGGACUGAGACACGGCCCAGACUCCUACGGGAGGCAGCAGUAGGGAAUCUUCCGCAAUGGACGAAAGUCCGACGGAGCAACGCCGCGUGAGUGAUGAAGGCUUUCGGGUCGUAAAACUCUGUUGUUAGGGAAGAACAAGUGCUAGUUGAAUAAGCUGGCAUCUUGACGGUACCUAACCAGAAAGCCACGGCUAGCUACGUGCCAGCAGCCGCCGUAA